UACGUGGGGCGCAAGCGUUGUCCGGAAUUAUUGGGCGUAAAGAGCUCGUAGGCGGUUUGUCGCGUCUGUCGUGAAAGCCCACGGCUUAACCGUGGGUCUGCGGUGGAUACGGGCAGACUAGAGGCAGGUAGGGGAGAAUGGAAUUCCCGGUGUAGCGGUGAAAUGCGCAGAUAUCGGGAGGAACACCGGUGGCGAAGGCGGUUCUCUGGGCCUGUACUGACGCUGAGGAGCGAAAGCGUGGGGAGCGAACAGG
rnacentral:rRNA from 1 species